rnacentral:lncRNA from 1 species
ACGCCACCCUACUACUACAAAUCACCGCCACCUCCAUCUCCUUCUCUGCCUCCACCAUACUACUACAAGUCUCCACCUCCUCCUUCACCGUCACCACCACGACCUUACUAUUAUAAGUCACCGCCACCUCCUUCUCCCUCGCCUCCACCACCUUAUUAUUACAAGUCUCCACCGCCACCUUCUUCUUCUCCCCUCCCACCAUACUACUACAAGUCCCCUCCUCCUCCUUCUCCCUCACAUCCAACGCCUUACUAUUAUAAGUCUCCACCACCACCGGCGAAAUCUCGGCUGCCACCCUACUACUAUAAGUCACCACCACCACCGGCUAAGUCUCCCCCUCCGCCAUACUACUACGUGUCUCCACCACCACCAGUAAAGUUUCCUCCUUCACCAUACUACUAUAAAUCUCCGCCGCCAC